rnacentral:misc_RNA from 1 species
UCCGGUUUAGACCGGCGGUCCCCCUAGAGAUUUCAACUAAGGGCAAGGGUUGCGCUCGUUGCGGGACUUAACCCAACACCUCACGGCACGAGCUGACGACAGCCAUGCAGCAUCUGUGCACGCUCCCUUGCGGGUCCCUUCCCUUACGGGUUGGUACCACGUGCAUGUCAAGCCGAGGUAAGGUUCUGCGCGUUGCAUCGAAUUAAACCACACGCUCCGCUGCUUGUGCGGGCCCCCGCCUAUUCCUUUGAGUUUUAACCUUGCGGCCGUAGUCCCCAGGCGGUGAACUUAAUGCGUUAGCUGCGGCACCGAGGGGGUCGAUACCCCCGACACCUAGUACUCAUCGUUUACAGCGUGGACUAC